CCUACGGGAGGCAGCAGUGGGGAAUCUUGGGCAAUGGAGGAAACUCUGACCCAGCAAUGCCGCGUGAAUGAAGAAGGUCUUCGGAUUGUAAAGUUCUUUAGUCAGGGAAGAAUAAAAUAACGGUACCUGAAGAAUAAGCUCCGGCUAACUACGGUCCAGCAGCCCCGGUAAUACGUAUGGAGCAAGCUUUGUUCGGAGUGACGGGGCGUAAAGGGUGCGUAGGCGGUUAUACAAGUUAGAAUGGAAAUACCCGGGGCUUAACACGGGUGCUGCAUCUAAAACUGUAAGACUUGAGUGCAGGAGAGGUUAGGGGAAUUCCUAGUGUAGCGGUGGAAUGCGUAGAUAUUAGGAGGAACACCAGAGGCGAAGGCGGUUAACUGGACUGCAACUGACGCUGAGGCACGAAAGUGUGGGGAGCAAACAGGAUUAGAUACCCCAGUAGUC
rnacentral:rRNA from 1 species